ensembl:lncRNA
UGGGCUCUCCUGCUGGGCAGCUAUUUGUGCGAUGGGAUCUCUCCUGAGUAAGUGAUGGCUCUUGAAUUUAUGCCUGUUGCAGAAAAUCCUUUGUGCUUUGGUGCUGUGUGAUGCUCUUGCUGAUACAGAUCUUUGAGAUGGAAGAAUAAGAAUUCAACAGGAAACAGCAGAACUGUGUUACAUGUGGAGGUCUCACACUUCAUAUUGUAUCAACAGAAGAAAUUGAAAAACAGCCCAUAGAACAACAGUGACCUUCUUUCUUACCAACCAUAAAAGCUAUAAUUGCCUGUAGUGGUUGAGAAGAACAGGGCAUGAUCUGUGUGCACUGCUGCUUUCAGCUGUGGUGGAAGCCAUUCACUGUAUCUUCUCAGUGAGAACUUUGGAACUUCUAGAAAAGAACAAAGGGGGAAAGAAGAAAGGAUGCUCACCACACUGUUUUGUGAAUGAAUAUUGUCAUCUCAGUAGUUCAGUGCUAGCUCUCUUGACAUUAGGAAACAAAUGUAUUUGAAAGUGGUGCUUGUUGCUUAUUACAAUACUAGGAAGAAUAACUGCAACAUUUUAACAAAUAGGUUGAAAAGGUGAACUCUGAAGGGAGAUGAAGGGUUUUUUUGGUAAUUUGGAAGAAUUGUGGUAGUGGGGUAGCAAUACAGGCUGUCUGUUUUUCUUUGUGGUUCUCCUUCUUCAGGCAAGAGGUAGAUAAGGCCUGUCUCUGAGAAAAUAAUGCACAGUAGAUGCUAAAUGCUAUAGAAAAGGCAAUGUGAGGGAUAUCAAAGGAUAUAAUCACCUGUAGGAUAUUUAAACAAGCUUUCUGAAGAAACUAGAUAUUUACCUGUGGAGAAUGCUUUUGGAGGUGAGAGUAAGCAGCUGAACAAGCGGUCUUAGUUGUCUGAGAUCCUAUAUCUUAGGUUCUGCCUAACAGUGUUUAUAGUAGCUUAGUAAGCAGGAUCCCUCUUUUUGAGAUGGUGAGGGACAGUUUUAACUGCCAGGUGCAACUUGUUGAGAGGAAGUCUAUGGUGAGCACACUUGGCUUUGUAAUGGUGACAGUUUGUCUGAUCUAGGUGUUUUCUGUUUAUUUCUUUUAAAGUGAUGUUUCAGGGAGCUUUGGAGAGCUAAAUAGAACUGCCCUUAUUACAGUUGCAGUACCUGCUUUUACAGAGAUUUAUAGACACUUGUGUCAGACUUAUCCUUUGAUUUUCUUCAGCAUAUACUGUUGCACAUUUGCAUGCAUUUGAAAUACCCACUACACAUAACAUAUUUGUCUAUCUCUUUAGUUCCUUACUAACUCUCUCCUAGCACAGAGUUAUUAUUCUCUAGGAUAUUCUAAACGGUGUAUUUAAAUGAAAAGUAGUAAUCCCAACUGGCAGACUUUUGAAGAGAGGGAUUGAAAAGUGGAAACAGAGAUACUCAUAUUGUCUGGGUCAAACUUUAUACUGUUAAUAUAUUUGCUUAUUUUUAGGCUAGUUGUGCUGAUUGUACAUUGGCCAAAUCAUUGUGUAAAAUUGUCUUUUAGCUAGGUUUUGCAAUCUGGUUGCAGUCAUAAAAACACAGACAAAGUAACAGUGUCUUGAGUAUACAGUGUGUUCUCAACAGCUCUGGGAGAUUUUUUGUUAUUAAUCAGUCUUUGUCUCUUCAUUCAGUGAACUAUAUUUUCAGCUGUACUUGCCCACAGAAUGCCUCUUUGCAACCAUCAUUCUAGAAAGUACAAGUCAAAGUUCAUAGAAUUCUUUUGCUUGUAGAUUUGUACGAUGUAUUAAUUUCAUUUUCCACUUAUAUCCAGACUCUGUUCUUUGUUGAAAAAUCAGCCCUGUAGGUCCAUCCUCACUGCUGAUUAUGGAUAAAAAUAAGGAUUGCCUAGUAGAGAAGUAUUUUACAGGAAACUAUAGGAAUAUGUAAUGGAUAAUAAUAAUAAUAAUAAUGGAUAGUAAUAACUUCCUCACUGUUCUCAAAUGCAUUCAAAAACUGAGUAUUUUUUCCUCUGCAAGUAAUACAAGAAUUCAAAACAGUUCAAUUCUUUUAAAAUAAUAUCUAGAACUGUUAGGUCAUGCUUCUUUAAGAGUAUUCUGCCCUCAGAUUAAAAAACAAAAACAACC